GCAAAAAGCCCUCGUCCCUGCAAAAUAGUGAGAUAAUCCCGACAGCGGAGAACUACACAAACCACGUACAUACAGCACAACAGUGUUCUGACUGGGCUCUCUAGAGGGGAACGUGAUUUCCCCCUUGCUCUGCUCCUCUCUUCCUCUACCUGCCUUGCCAUCAGACGGAGGUCUGUUUUCCCAGCUACAGAAUUCCUGCUCUGAGGUUCUGUACCUGGGGCCAACCAAAACCCAGAAGCUGCUUUGAACCAACAUAACCCAUGACAGCAGGACAAGUCAUUAUUCCACAGAAAGCAAUUAGUGCUUUCCAGGAAGUGGCACAGAAGUACUUGCCUCGUGUAUUUGCUUUAAACACACUGGGGCAGGCUCAGUUUCAUGGUGGGUGGACGUAGGUCUACUCCUCUGCAAGCAAAUCCCAAGGAAGAGGGACUUGCACCUUUGCCUAUGUCUAAGUACCAAGCUCAAGGAAAAAUGCUUUGCAACCUACAGUCAUAAAAAGUAAAAUUAGUGGAACUGAGGAGUGUAACUGG